CCCACACGCACACACACGCACGUUGGAUACCAUCUCUCUCAUCUUCCUCGAUCCCCUUUCUCCACCCCACGCUGCCGCCAGAUUUUGGCGAUCCUCGCCGUUCCCCACCGCCCAGCUCUCCUUCUCGAGGUCACCUCUCCCAGCUCACCAUCUCCACCGACCGGUUUCUCUCCUCGCCCAGGAGAGUCCCACCUCCUCACCACCAAGGCCGCCGCCGCCCGCCGCCUCCUCCUCGAGCGCCGUGCCGCAGACCUCGCCUCCCAUGCCCUCGCCGCCCGCGCUGACAUCGACGCCACCCACGCGCGCCGCCUCGCUGUCGCCCGCGACAUCAGCUCGACCAACGGCGAGAUCGAGGACGCGCAGCGAAAGGCGGAGGAGUGGGACCGCUUCUACGAGUCCAAGAGGAAGGAGAUGGAGGAGUUCCGGCCGUCGUCUCCACAGCCUCCAUCCACCCCGGCCGCAGCCACUUGUCAACCCCACGAGCAGCCUCCUGGCCUAGUUCCUCGUCACCGUCCUCCUCCCGGUCCCUGUCCACCUCCGCCUCCACCUGGUGGUCCCAGAGGCGACGACUCCCCGUCGCCUUGGCCGCCGUAGAGCUCCGCGAGGCCGCUGCGGGUGGUGGAGACUCCGUCCGCGUCAUCGAGACGCCACAACCCAACAAGUGUUAAGUUCAGCGUGGAGGCAGCCCUGCAGGAGCUGCAGAGCAGCAGGUUGCACUCGGACGACGCCGGGAUCGGGGCUGCGGAAGCCAGGAAGGCCGACCUCAUGGCUAAGAAGGCCAAGCUGGACGAGACCCUGGCUGCAGCCCGCCAGUUCAGAGCACUGCUUCGGCAGCAACUCCAGAAAGCCUUCGCGUCACAGGUUAGGGAUCAAAAGGCAGCACAAAACUGACUAGUUAUAUGGUACAAGCAAAAUGACAUUCAUUAGCUAGCUCCUCAAUCGCUUCGUAUUAAGUAUGCAAUGCAAGUCUGGCGGGCUACCGGUUACUAACAUAGUAGUACAAAUGUAGUGUUACUUUUAGGCAAAUGUUGAGCAAAUUUUGAACUAAUGGAUGAGUUUCGUGGGACGAAGCGGGCUUCCACUUGCACUCCUCCUACUGAUGAAACGAACUUCAAAUGUCUCUACAUGCAGAUACAUGCUUUUUUAUUUCAGUCUUGUUUAGAGGAGGCCCCGGUGGCGUCGAGCUGCUGUUGCUGUGGGCAUAGCGACGUCGGCGUGGUCAGGAUGGUCGCAGCCUUUCAAGAUUCUCAACGGUGGUGUCUCGGCGCUGAUGGCGGAGUCGACGAUGAGCAUCGGCGGGUACAGGUUCAGAUCAUCCAUGAUUGGUAGUUAUUGGUCAUAUUUAGUUGCAUUUUGGUCAGUCUGGUUGUGGCUAUGGAGCACUUCUUUUGGUCAUGUGCUAGAUCUGUCAUGUAGGAGUAUUUGGCAAUGGAUAUAUGCUCAUACAGAAUUUUGAUAAUCAACUAGGAAUUACAAUUAGAAUCAAAGCACUGCUACUUGUACUCCUUUCAUGAAAAAAGGCUACUCGUAGGACCCUUGUAGGAGACCAUCCUCAAGAUCGACGAGAAGAUGAGGUCUGGACCCUUGUAGGAGACCAUCCUCAAGCAGCUCUAGAUAUGGAGUAGGAGGACGAGCAGUAGCAGCAAAUCAUCCUGAUGAUGACGGGGUGCGGAAGGCAAUGGUGAUCAUGCUGAUGGCAUGAAGAAGGCUGGUGACAACAACCUAGACCUGUUGGCAUUUAGAGAUGGCAAACAAAGGUGGCAGACAACAACCUGGACCACCCACCUCCCUUGCCUUUAGUUAUAAGGCGUCUCAUGAAAAUUAUGAAAAUUGUAGAUAGUUGCUCCUUGAUUGAUUGUAUUUCUUUGUUGCAAUCCAUGAUAAAUUCACCCCAUUCUUAUGAACAAAAUAAAGCUUUUACUAAA